AACGAACGCUGGCGGCAUGCCUAACACAUGCAAGUCGAACGAGUGCCUUCGGGUGAUAGUCGCGCGCGGGUGCGUAACGCGGGGGUAUUUCCCCGUGGGUUCGGUAUAUCACCUAGAAGCGGCUGUUCAUACCGCGGGAUAUCGAGACAUCAAAUAUUUAUCGCCUGAGGGUGCGCCCGUGUUGGAUUAUGUUGUUGGUGGGGUAAAGGCUAACCAAGCCGACUAUCCAUAGCUGGUCUGAGAGGAUGUUCCGACACACUGGGACUGAGACACGGCCCAGACUCCUACGGGAGGCAGCAGUGGCGAAUAUUGGACAAUGGGCGGAAGCCUGAUCCAGCAAUGCCGCGUGAGUGAUGAAGGCACUAGGGUUGUAAAGCUCUUUUACCCGGGAAGAUAAUGACUGUACCGGGAGAAUAAGCCCCGGCUAACUCCGUG
rnacentral:rRNA from 1 species